AAGGUUUAAUGGGACCAGUUUCUGGAACAUUCGGGACUGCGGCACCUUAUGGCCGACCGAGAUUUGGGUCUGCGCAGGCGACGAUGGGUGGUCCGAUGGGCUUCAGGACUUGAUGGCGUAACCCCCGUCUUCCCCCACGUACGUAUUUGCUGGGAUCGGGGGCGAUGUCUCUGCGUAUGUGGGUGCUCUGUCUUUCUCACCUUCUUUCUUGCUUUUUGCUAUUUUUUUUUUUUUUCUGAGGGAGGGGUUUUUUUCCACUUUAAUUUCUUUUCCCUUAGUGUCAGCUGCUCAAGCCUGACCGAGGUAGAGGAAAGAGGAGCAGGCCGUCCCUGGCGUCCCACCUGACCUCCCAGCCUCUACCCCCAUUUCCUUCUAUCGGGCAGACAGACAGACAGACAGGCUGGUUUUCCAAGUUGUUUGGGUAUCAGUGUCUGUCCGUCCGUAUGGUUCUCAGGUAGAAGGUACGGAGUGAGGAGGAGAAGUGUUGAGAGGAAGGCGAGAGGGGCAGCUUUCUAGGGGUUGCCUUGUUGAAACAUUCGGCCCUGGGAAUCUGGGGCUGUUGGGGAGCAGGUGGGCAGGAUGGGGCGUGGGCUGCGAGAAGUGGGGUAAAGCUGGUAGGUUUGUCACUGCGUAGUUGGGGAAAGUGGGGAAUGGUGACGCAGUCACUGUUGGAUCUUGUUAGGGGCUCUGGGGGGACAGGUAGUGAGGGUCCCAGGAUCUGUAGGGCCAGCUGAGAGGGGUUGAGGAUGAGCUGAGAAGGGAAGCUAGCAUUUAGAGAUUAAAUGUCAUCCUUUUGGCGUUGGAAAGUUGUUUACCUUGUGCUCUCUGUGUCUCCAUGUUGGCACCCUUCCAGUUCACAUGUGAUGGCCUUCCUUGUACUGCUGCAUCAUUAACUAAGUGACUGAGCUGGCCUUCCAUUGGCCAGGGGAGGGCUCUCACUCCAGACACUUCCUCUGAUUGGUGGGUGGACCAAUGGCAGGGACAGGAGAUUUGCAUUGACGUCCCAGGCUGUCCAGAGCUGAGCCCAUUAUGGGAAGGACCUGCCUUCUGGAAGCUGCUGCUCCCCGGUGCUUGGAAAGUGAUACUCUCCACGCCUCCUCUCCACUGCACCCACCUGCGGCAGUCCCACCGUCUUCCGUGGACCUCUCCUGAUUACCUUCACAAGAAGCAGCCCUCCUCCCAUCCGGCCAGACUCCCAUACGCUCCAUGCUUCUUUUGUGCUACUGUAGAUGUGCUGUGGUUCUUCGUGUAUAAGUCUUAUGUCACCUAUUAGAUUGUGAGCCCCAGGAAGCUAGGGAAAAGAAGGGAAACAUGUACCUGUGUGGUGCUUUCUGUUUGCCAGGUACCACAUCCGUCUGGUUCACGGCGGUUAUUUCGUUUAUUUCUCACCUCAACCCUGCGAGGAGAGUCCCAUGGCCGGAACUUUUGCAUCAGGAAAACACCAUGGAAACGCCAUGAGCAUUGGUGGUGGCGGAGUGAGGGUUAAACAGUGAGCCUUCCUGGGAUCCUUUUGAUGCCAGUGUGUCAGGAGCCUGGAGAUGGAGCGCUCAGCCGAGUGGCCAGGACGUUCUGUCAACAUGAAAGCAGCAAAAACAGUUUGUCGGGGCUCAGCGCUGACCCUGGGCUGGGGUCAUUUUCAGGAAGGGCUUGGCACAAGAAAGACCACCGCCAGGCACGGGAUUGGGGGUGACGUCGGAUAACUCAAUAGGACCCUAUGGACCCUUGAAUUUUAGAAUCUGAAAAGAAAAUCAGCUGUUUGUGUUUUAUUAGAUGAGCUUGGCAAACAGGAUCACUUCUUGAACUCCUCUCACUGGUCCCCAACGAGAGACAUCUUCCCAGGUUCAGAAAACCCUUUGGGAUUUCUCGGUUGUGGCUUGUUGCCUUGGAUGGAGGGCAGGUCCCUUCUAGGGGGCAGGGGUGGGCCUGGCAGUCCUAGUGCCCAUUAGGGGAUAUGGAGUCGUAGGUUUCCUCUGCUGGCAUCACGUGAAGGUGGUGGAUCCACAUCACAGGCCUUGAGCUGAAGACCAGCCCUUGGGCAGCCCACUUCAGCCUCUCCUUUCCUUAUUAUUUCAAAUCAAAGUCUUACCUUCUCCCCUUCAUCUUCCUCAUUUCCUUCUUAGGCGCAGUAGUGGGCCUGAAGCCCUUGACCUUUGCGGCUGUGUGUGUGUCAUCAUGGCGGCUCAGGGUUCUAGACUUUUCUUGAAUCUGCAGCAUUGCGCUUUGUGCGCGUGACACCCCCCGCUCCGCCCCGCCCACCCGGCCCCGCCCCACCAGGCCUUCUUCGGAGCAAGAGAGAACAUGGGCCUCCAUCGCCACUGAAUCUCAGCCAAACCGUCAUCCCCAGCAUCUGGCCUCCCUCCUCUCCUCCCCCGCUUUCGGCCGGCGUCUGGGGUGGAGGAGCAAACAACUUGUGGGAGGAGAUGGAGGGCCAGCCUGGCCUGGAGCUCUCUGCCUCCCUUCCUCGGGUGCCGUUUUUCAGCCUCACGCUUCCUGUGGAUGGAUGAUGCCAGCACUGACAUUUGUCGCCGAGCACCUCCUCUCCCCGAGGACUUCCCCGCGCGACUCUUUUGGGGUCUGGAAAGAGUGGCUCUGGGGCCUUGGGAGCCAGAGGGGACGGGGGACCCGGCCCAGGUCACAGCAGACUGUGAGACGGGCGAGGGGUGGGAGCUGGCCGACCCCACCCAAGCGCAAAGGCAGCCCCGGCCCCUUUGCGUCAUGUCUUUUUCAGCCUGAGGAGAGAGCAACUUGACCUAAAAAAAUUGUAUAUAUGUGGGUGUUGGAUCCUUUGUGUGUCUUUGUCCAGAAGCUGUGCAUGUGAUGAGAGCCUAGGUUCUGUACUUCAGAGAACUGUUGUCCUUCAGGUUUGUUUUCAGAAAGAUGUGACGGAUGGGCCGUCCUUGAUGAGACCGCGUGCCCGCUGGGACUGGCCUUCCUCCAGGAUGCUGGGCCCGGCAUGGUGUUUCUUCUGUCAGUGGACGAGAACUCAGAGGAGUUCAGCUCCAUGGGUAGGUGACAAACUCCUGGAGACUCAGCUGACGAUGGUGCUGGUGUGCAGAAGACAGUUGUCAUCCUGUGGGAUAAGUGUGUGCCCGUUUGCAUUUAUUUGGAACAAAAAAAGGAGCUGCCUGGCAGCCUGGCUCUCUGCAGUAAGUAUUUUUUUGCAUUCUUUUAUCCCUUCAAACGUCGGAAGUGGAUAGAUGUUUAUUGAACCUAGCCAGCUGCUGUGCCUUCUGCAUUCUUUCCUGCACACUGCCGCCCUUGGUCCUCCAGAAGAGAGGACUGGAUCGAUUUCCUCAUCCUGCUGGAGAGCUGCAGAGAGGCUAGAACUCAGUGUUCAGCCCCCGCGCAUCCCCCUCACAUUCAGGAGGUGUCGAUUCUCCCUAAAACAGAGAGCCAAAAGUCCGGGUCCCUCAGAGCAGAGUGUUCACGGGCUGAAUGGAAGGGCCCUGCCUGGGCUCAUUGCCCCCAGCAGGGAGGUGAGGCUCUCCGUUGGCUGGCUGGAGGAGCUGGGGGAGGGGGGUGGGCCUUGCCAGCAUCUAGCAUGGUUCUCUGCCAAGUUCUAGCUCCAGAUCUCUAGGCCGCUAGGAACCUAGACUAUAUAUAGCGUUGUGCUAAGCAGUUCUUAUCAGACGUGUCUGCCCUCCCCUGCGGGAGAGGAGCGCUUCUAUCAGGGAACCAGAACCUGGAAAGUGUGAGCCAUCUCCAUGGGGCCUUUUAUACUGGGGAGGGUGUGUGUGUGCGCGCGCGUGCACACACGCGUGCAUAUGUGUAUCUGUGUAUAUGUGUCUGUGUCUGGUUCAGGGCUGCCAAGCUUUCUCUCCUUCCCCCUAUUUCACAUGCUAGUAGAUUCAGAAUCUUGUGGAGGAGGGCGCUGAUGUAGGCUGAGGGCCAGGAGGGGCUGGUGCUUCUCGAAGGUUCCUGGAUCCUGGGUUUGGAGGAGAGGCUGGGCACGUGAUGUGGCUGAAAGCACAGUGUGGCCUCCGGUGUGUCUUCCUGGUUUCCGGUUUGCCCUGCUUUGCCUGAGGAUGUCUUUUGACCUCUCUCUUCCUUCUUUUGAACCUGCUGCCUUCCCUGCCUUCCUCCAGCCCUCCCUCGUCCUUUCUUGGAUUUUCUUUGGGAUAUGUGAGGCAGACCCAGCUAUGGGCAUCCGGGAGCUUGUCUGUUCCCCACCCUCACCCUCGUUUGGGGCUUCCGGAAGUCUGGCUUGACCGGCACAAGGGGCCAGCUGUCCUCAGAGGAGCUGGUGGUGAACGAGCAUGUCAUGCUGGGAGGUAUAGGGCAGAGUGGGCUGGGUCUUUGCCUCCUCCCUUCCAGAGGUGCUGUUGAGCCCCCAGUUUGUGUGGUUCUGUGACCACAAGUGCUGGUGGAUGUGACGCCAUCCCAGUCUCGUCGUUGAACCAUCACCAGCCUGCUUAUUGGAAACCAGGCGCAGCAAGGAAGAUAGGAUUCAACGCCCUCCUUCCCUGCCUCCCAGCCCGCCUCCAAAAGAAUUUAAUCUGCUGGACAACAAACAAUACUGUUAUAAAACUUUGAAAACAAGAGGGCGCGGCCUCCCUGACAAGGAGAAGGGCAUGCCGGGUAAUGGGCGAGGGAGCCUGCCAGGCCCGAGAUGGAGCCAGGCAAGAGCCCAGUUGGCUGGGCACCUGGGUGCCCGCCCCUGCCCAGCCCACCAGCCGUGCCAUCCCCAGUCCAGAGGGGAAGGAACCGAAACAAAAGUGGGGACAGCGGAGCUCUUGAAAAGGGGAAGUUGUCCUGAGACUGGUAGACAGAAGUCCUGAUAACAGAAUGAGGCUGGCAUAGCCGUGAAGGUACAGCCACCAGCCUGGCCAGCUGCAGGGGAAGCAGGAGAGAAAGGUGCUCCAAGCUGGCUUUGGACUCCAGACCUACCCUCUGUCUGCCCAGCCUCCCGCCCCCCACCUAGGGAAGUGGAACCAGGUCAUGGGCAUGACCCGGUCCAUGUGCUCUGCCAGGAGCCCUGAAACCAGCAUUCCCAGCGGCAGGAAGAUGGAUGAUCUGGGCUCCACUUCCGGCGCUCCUCCCCCACUCUGGCUGGAACUUGCGUCAGUCAUAUCAAGGAGGCCCUCGGGUUGGGUGCCAGGGAGAGCAAGCUGCUUCCAGCCGCAUGAAAUCACCUGGCUACUUGCAACUAGGGGACAAAAUCAGCAUCUGGUUUCAGGUGGCAGUGGGUGAUCAGAAGACCAAUCAUUUUCCUGAACACCAUGAAUAGUGCUCAUCUAAAUGAUAGUAGUCUCCAGAAUUCUCAAUGAAGCCACAAACCCUAAGCACCAGGAUGCCAGAUGUCCUGAUUCUUUCUGCUAGUUCUGCACAAGGCCUGCCAUCGUGUCAUACCAACACCCCUCAGGUUUCGGGAUCUUGGUUACCCGACGAGGGACUGAACCCACGCCCCUUGCAAUGGAAGCACGGAGUCCUAACUACUGGACCACCAGGGAAGUCCCUGCAUUAAUAUAAACUUAAAGAAACAUUAAUUUGAAAUAACAACAAAGCUAUCUGAAGAUUAAAAUGUGAAAGUGAAUUAUUGUACUAAUUACAGUUAUGCCAUAUUACCUUCAGCAUUCAUUAAGUUAACUUCAAGUGUUUACAGACAACUUGAAGCUCACGGCCCAUCUGAAAACUACUUUCCUGGUUGGCUUUAGCCUCAAAGGAAUCCUAAGAGAACCAAGCAGAUACAUAGGGCUGGGUAGGCCCACAGUACCAUUCUAGUUGGUAUGUUUUGUCUUCCCCUUUGCCCCUGUGAUCAAAGUCACCACUUUGCUUUUACUAAGAAAUUGCCCUUCUUAUUGGCCGUUGUAGAAUCUGCUCCCAAACUCAUGACUGUAACCUAGGGUAGCGCCUCACAUUAUAAGUGGUGGGAAACAUAACUCCUCUUUUCCUGGCCAUGCAGACACACAUUCUGGCACAAAAGGAGGAACUUCCAAUUCAUUUCAUUCAGAGACAGAAGGUAGAGGGGGUUAAAUGGCUUAAAGCAAUGCAUUUCAUAAUUUUCCAAAAUCUGAGGGUUUUUUGUUGGUGGUGGUUUCUCUUUUAUAUGUUAAAAAUAUCCUGACCAAGGGAAACAGAUAAAUGCCUUUAAAGAAUUAAUAUUUACAAGUGGAAAUUGAAAAUCCUUACAAAAUUAAGUGAAAUGUAUUUUGGUUUCUGUCGAAAAACCAAAAUGAACUUAAAAUGAACACAUUCUGUGAUUAUUUCCCACUGGGCUAAAAAAUUCCCCCAGCUUUGGAUUCAUAGCUGCUAGAAGGUAGAGGAGCUAGACAGUCUGAUCAAAGGAUGUGGGGGACGUUACUCUGUUGGCGCCUGUUUUCAAAGCAAGAGCCUGUCAAUGCACAUUAUUUUACAUUAAAACAGGGAAGGUAGGAGAAAACAUCAAUAAUCUAGCAAAGGGAACAGGAAUCCAGGUGUCCUCUUGGAUGUCUACUGCCCACUUAUCUUAGUUCAGUUUAUCAAUAUCUAAAUAUUCAUUGAAUAUUUUUCAGAAGAAAGGACAUCUCUGAAAAGAAACGCAACAGAAAGCAGAUACCUUUUAAUGAUAAAAGCAAACCUUUCUCUCAUCUCUUCUCAGAGAGAAAUAAAAUUUACUUGUCUGUGGCUUUCACCAGUUAGGUACGUGCUGAACAAAGGAAGGGAACAGGGAUGAAUAAAAUAGUGACGUCAAACCAAAAGGAAGCAAGAGUGGCAUAAAAAUGGGAUAAAAUCAAUGAUGGAGGAGAAGGGAAGUAAAGCUGACAAUUAGGUUCAUAAAUUAUGGCUCUCCUGAUUCUCACUAGGAACUUGAAACAGGAAUUUGGUGCAAGAAGCUACUUUACCUUUGAAGUCUUACAGAUCAUCCAGCAGAUAUACAGAUUCUAAAUUUGUGUGCAAUCUGUCUACCUCUGAAACCUCUUAGCCUGAAGUGAAUAAUGUAAACUCUCUUUCACAGAAUAAGAUUGUAUGAGGAGAAAUGGUCCUGGUCUCUAGCACCUUAGAUUUUGAGGCAAUACACAGAGCAUGUAUUAAUUCCAUGUAAUACUGUCUCAGAAAUCGAUUUUAUGACAUACAUUUUCAGAUGGAUCUUUUGCAUCGAGGACAGUUUCUUCCUGUGGCACAAUUGUUUUCACCUGAGGGAAGAUCUCUGUAAAACUUAUUAUGACUUCCCAUUUUUCUAGAAUGGAUCUAAAUUUUGUAAAUGUGCUCUCUCAACUGUUACAACAUCUUUGUCAUUUACUAGUUUUUGUCUAAAAUUUUUUAAAGCCUUUGUUCAAUGCUCAAGAAUUUGAGAACCAGGUAGAAAAAUGUUCAAGUUAAUUUGACCAUUCAAGUUUUUACCCAUAUCAUUAUACUCCCCACCACCUGAACUGGAUUCACCAUUUAUAUUAUAUCCAAAAAAGCUUCAGUAAUAUUAAUUUAAGCAGACAGCUUAAAAAUUACAGUUACUGGAUCAGUCAUUAUUAAUAUAACAUUAAAAUAUUUUAAAACUACAACAAAUAAUAAAUAUCCUUAAUGGAAAAAAGAAAAAGUACUCAGUCACUGUUACUAAAAUACAUAAACUAUUGCAAUAAUUCUAAUGAACUUAAAAAACUCUCACUUAUCCAGUGAUGAUUUAACCCGAGUAGAGAGAAUCAUGCAUUUAUGAAAAAAAUAUUCACAACAAAUAAUUGAAAACAUUAAUGUAAACAAAAGGUAUCUGUUUUUUGGAACCACACAGUCAAAACAUGCAAGACAGGACUCAAGCAAUAGCAAAGGAGAGGGCAAGGGCUGUGGAUUCCAAGGCUGGAAAGUUUGGUGGAAGAGUUAGUUAAGAAAGGAGACUGAAAGGGAAAAGGAAGGAGGGUGUAGAUGGAGCCCAUCAGACCAACUGGGAUCCUAUUCUAUUCUUAGUUGAGAGCUAAGAAACAGGAAACUGUAACAGAGCACUUUAACCCCGUGGCCAUAUUUCAUCAAAAUUUAAUCGUCUUAAAAAUGACUACUUAUACUA